rnacentral:rRNA from 1 species
GACGAACGCUGGCGGCGUGCUUGACACAUGCAAGUCGAGCGGUAAGGCCCUUUCGGGGGUACACGAGCGGCGAACGGGUGAGUAACACGUGGGUGACCUGCCCUCAGCUCUGGGAUAAGCCUGGGAAACUGGGUCUAAUACUGGAUAUGACUCCACGGUGCAUGUCGUGGGGUGGAAAGCCUUGUGCGGCUGAGGAUGGGCCCGCGGCCUAUCAGCUUGUUGGUGGGGGAUGGCCUACCAAGGCGACGACGGGUAGCCGGCCUGAGAGGGCGACCGGCCACACUGGGACUGAGACACGGCCCAGACUCCUACGGGAGGCAGCAGUGGGGAAUCUUGCGCAAUGGGCGAAAGCCUGACGCAGCGACGCCGCGUGAGGGAUGACGGCCU